rnacentral:rRNA from 1 species
UACGUAGGGUGCGAGCGUGUCCGGAAUUAUUGGGCGUAAAGAGCUCGUAGGCGGUCUGUCACGUCGGAUGUGAAAACUCGGGGCUCAACCCCGAGCCUGCAUUCGAUACGGGCAGACUAGAGUUCGGUAGGGGAGACUGGAAUUCCUGGUGUAGCGGUGAAAUGCGCAGAUAUCAGGAGGAACACCGGUGGCGAAGGCGGGUCUCUGGGCCGAUACUGACGCUGAGGAGCGAAAGCGUGGGGAGCGAACAGG